GGGCCUAUAGCUCAGUCGGUUAGAGCGCUACACUGAUAAUGUAGAGGUCGAUGGUUCGAGUCCAUCUAGGCCCA
rnacentral:tRNA from 6 species